rnacentral:rRNA from 1 species
GAUGAACGCUAGCGGGAGGCCUAACACAUGCAAGCCGAGCGGUAUUUGUUCUUCGGAACAGAGAGAGCGGCGCACGGGUGCGGAACACGUGUGCAACCUGCCUUUAUCUGGGGGAUAGCCUUUCGAAAGGAAGAUUAAUACCCCAUAAUAUAUUGAGUGGCAUCACUUGAUAUUGAAAACUCCGGUGGAUAGAGAUGGGCACGCGCAAGAUUAGAUAGUUGGUGAGGUAACGGCUCACCAAGUCAAUGAUCUUUAGGGGGCCUGAGAGGGUGAUCCCCCACACUGGUACUGAGACACCGACCAGACUCCUACGGGAGGCAGCAGUGAGGAAUAUUGGACAAUGGGUUAGCGCCUGAUCCAGCCAUCCCGCGUGAAGGACGACGGCCCUAUGGGUUGUAAACUUCUUUUGUAUAGGGAUAAACCUACUCUCGUGAGAGUAGCUGAAGGUACUAUACGAAUAAGCACCGGCUAACUCCGUG